AUCACUAAAAGGAUGACAGCGCUAUUGAUAGAGAGAACAGGACUUUUAUAGGAUUUGACUGCAUUCUUACGAAGUUGUAGCUUUGGCUUAAGUGCGUCUUUAGGCCUGUGACCUUCAGAACUUUCUUUUUUACAUUUUAAGUAUUUUAUUUCUUUAUUUUUUAUUUUUAUUUUUAUUUUAAGACAGGGUUUCUCUCCGUAGCCCUGGCUGUCUUGGAAUGCUCUCUAUAGACCAGGCUGGCCUCAAACUCAGAGAUCAGCCUGCCUCUGCCACCCUAGCACGGAAACAGCUGAGCAGGAAAUGACUGAAUAGCCACUACCAUGGCCAGGGUUGGGGCAGAGACGGGGAGGCCUGCUUGCUCAUAGCAACAGGACAGCAGGCUGUCCACUGAUCAAGAACACCUGCCCUGCACAGCCCUGAAGGGGUGCCAUCCCUCCUUUGCGUGUCAUCUGGACAAGUGAGUUUUGUUCCAGUUCUCAUAGAAGCCACCGCACUGCGGAGCCUGAAGUUACACAAGAAGCAAGACAAGGUCUUCCAUGGUUGGAAGGGCCCCACAUGAUGUCUCUUGUGAGAAGAUGGGUUUCCCAGCCAGAGUCCAUCUCCUGUGCAGGUGGUCUCAGGUUGGUGACACUAAGAUCAGCCUCCUAUGGGGCUUCAAGCCCCCUUCCUCUACCCCUGUGCUGCUGAGAACCAGGUGGGCGGACAGGAACGC
rnacentral:lncRNA from 1 species